UCCUGAUGGCUCACAUGAAGUUUCGUGCCGUUCCGACCUCGUUUGAUACGGUUAUGGUUAACCACACGGCCCCUCGGGCCCGACCCGAGCCCAGUCAACGUUUUGACCCGAUCAAAUCGGCCCGUGACCCGAAACGACCCUACUUGGGCCCUACAACAGCCACGUAAAGUUUCGGGAUGAUCCGACGUUCUUUCAUGGGGUUACGGACAAUCCACGCCAAACAAGCGUCACGGGCCGACCGAGCCGGGCCAACGGGCCCUCGGGACCCGAAAACUGAAUUUUUUUUCAUCCAAACCCAUUAAAACACGUUACCGAGGUCUCACGCAAAAUUUCAUGCCAAUCCGACGUCGUUUGAUGGGGUUUUGAGAUAUUAUGAUUCCUCAAAAAUUUAAUGUCUGUUCCUGUCACUUAGCUUUUUGUGCAAAAUGUAUAUAUAGGGGAGGGGUGGGUGUUGAGCAGCCCAUGCCCGGGCAAGGCAUGCCAGCGCCCAAGCCAAAGGAGGCUGGUGGCGUGCGUAUAACAGCUCAAAUGCCCCAACGAUGACCGAGAACAAGCGCCCAUCUCCCCUCCUUCCCCCCCACCAAGCGCCCCUCCCCCCCCAUGUUGCCUGCCCACUCGCACAGCUACUCGUGAUUUCAUGCCCAGCGACUAGUGAAUGUGCCUCGACGACCAGCAAACCUCGAAAAUUAUGAUUCCUCGUAAAAUUAAUGUCUGUUCCUGUCACUUUACUUUUUGUGCAAAAUGUAUAUAUAGGGGAGAUCAGGGGCUUGAGCAACCCCUGUGCCCAAGCAAGGGUCAGAUGGAAGCACACGAGACGCGAGGUUUAAAGCCUAUACAAGCAAGGCGUCUGUCUCCCCAAGCCCCAUUGCCUAUAAAACAAGCCCGAUGCCUUGUAAAUGCCCCACACGAUGCCUAUAAACGACAACGAUGUUUGCUAGUUAAUCGAUCGACGCCCCACACCUUGCAGCAUGUUGCCUAGUAAACAAGCCAUGCUGCCUUGGAAGCGCCCCACAUCAUGGCAUGUUGCCUAGCACGCUGCCCUUGUUUCCAGCACGGCGACCUGAAAGCGUGGCCUGACGACGUGCUUGCCUUCGAAAAUUAUGAUUCCUCAAAAAAUUAAUGUCUGUUCCUGUCACUUUACUUUUUGU
rnacentral:rRNA from 1 species